UUCUCUGUUAUUUGGUUUUGGUGUAGUAGUGUGAUCUAUAUUUUUCCGGACAGUUUUAGUCCUUUGUAUUUUGGACGGGUUGUUUCAUGCGCCCUUGGGUUUCGCAUGUCCGUGUCUCCACUUUCUUUGGAAUAAAAUAUCCACGUACGGAAUUACCUGCUCUCUGCGCUUGACUCCUCCACUCACCAUUCAUUGAAGUCGUAAAACAAGAGGCAAAUGGAGGUAUCUCUACUUGCACACGCAUCUUCUGCACAUCUAUCACUCCAGUGUUGAAUUGAUAAAUUUUCUUCCCGCUCUGACUCUGGUCCCUGUCUCCAGUCCGACUUCUUGUCAGUCCUGCUAGUCUGUCCUGGAUUCUACACUCCCCUGGAUUCCCCUCCGGAUCUGCUUACCCUGUCCCCACACCUCUCACUCUAGCCUCCGCACCUGGCUUCCAGCAACCCGCCCGAGCUUCCCCUGGCCUGCACUCAAUCCC